rnacentral:lncRNA from 1 species
UUCAAAAAACCGAAAAUUGAAAAAAACCAAAAACCGAACCGAACUGAAACCGAAAAAACUGAACCGAAUUGAAAAAACUGAACCGAACCGAAUUCUUUUGGUUCAGUUUCGGUUUUAGUGAUCUAGAAACCGAACCGAAUUAAUUAAAUUAAUUUUUAUUUAAUUAUUUGUUUUGGGUAUUAUUUUCUAAACCCAAUUUGUAAGUUAAAAUGUGCUAAACCCAAUGUGUUGCCAAACUUUAAGCUCAAAAUAUUAAAAAAAGGCCUAUAAAAACUAUAAACGUUAACCUAUUAUUUCUCCCCCAUAUAAGGUUCCGGAACCAAACCUCCUCCUGAAGUUACCUACAUCCAUCUCCAUAGCAUUGUCUACUUCUGCCCCAGCUUUCUUUUCCAAAUCUACUCUCAUAUAACAUGUGACAGAAUCCAUAAACAUUUAUUUCGGGUAGAUUAUUUGCGUAAUUUGUGAUGGAAAAGAAUCCAACACACACUAAAUAAAUCCACCCACGUAUUACUUUUACUAAUCAAGUUGUCAACAUGCAGUUACAAGCAAACAUGCCUGAUCUUUGAACAACAUUAUACAAUUUAACUUUUCUAAGUCAUUUGUAUGAUUUUUGUGUUGUGGGGUUGUUAGUUUGGACUUUGGAAGACUUGAUUGAUGAUUUUAGUUCAACUUUAAAUGUUUAUUUUCAUUGUCUUUGAUUCUAGUUAGAAUGCUUAUGUUAUGAUUGUGUUGGAGAUGUUAAAAUUUA